UGGGGAAUUUUGCACAAUGGGGGAAACCCUGAUGCAGCGACGCCGCGUGAUUUAGAAGGCCUUCGGGUUGUAAAAAUCUUUUGUAUGGGAAGAAAAUGACAGUACCAUACGAAUAAGGACCGGCUAAUUACGUGCCAGCAGCCGCGGUAAUACGUAAGGUCCGAGCGUUGUCCGGAAUCAUUGGGCGUAAAGGGUACGUAGGCGGAUAAGCAAGUUAGAAGUGAAAUCCUAUAGCUCAACUAUAGUAAGCUUUUAAAACUGCUCAUCUUGAGGUAUGGAAGGGAAAGUGGAAUUCCUAGUGUAGCGGGGAAAUGCGCAGAUAUUAGGAGGAAUACCGGUGGCGAAGGCGACUUUCUGGCCAUAUACUGACGCUGAGGUACGAAAGCGUGGGUAGCAAACAGG
rnacentral:rRNA from 1 species